rnacentral:rRNA from 1 species
GGAUUUCUGUUAAUAAUUUAUAUAAAAUAUUUUGAUGAAUAUUUAUAUAAUAUUAACAUAAUUCAUAUUACUAUAUAUUUUAGUAUAUGAAAUUUUACUUUGAGAAAAUUAGAGUGCUUAAAGCAGGCAUAUGCCUUGAAUACUCCAGCAUGGAAUAAUAUUAAAGAUUUUUAUCUUUCUUAUUGGUUCUAAGAUAAGAAUAAUGAUUAAUAGGGACAGUUGGGGGCAUUUGUAUUUAACAGUCAGAGGUGAAAUUCUUAGAUUUGUUAAAGACAAACUAAUGCGAAAGCAUUUGCCAAGGAUGUUUUCAUUAAUCAAGAACGAAAGUUAGGGGAUCGAAGACGAUCAGAUACCGUCGUAGUCUUAACCAUAAACUAUGCCAACUAAAGAUUGGAGGUUGUUCCUUACUC